AAAAAUAGAAAAUUUUAAAACAACAAAAAAAAUUAAAACAAGUAAAAAUGAAAGCAUAUGAAAAAAAAGCAAAAAGAAGGCAAAUUAUGAAGGGAAAAAGUUAUUAAAAAAUUACAAAGUAGAAAAAAAGAAAAUAAAAAAAUAAAUUAAGAGAAAAAAUUAAAUAAAAUACCAAAAAAGGAAAAAAUAAAAAUAAACAAAGUAAGAAAAUAAAAAAUUAGCGAAUCAAAAAAUAUAAAAAGACAAAAUGAAUAAAAAUUUCAAAUAUAAAAUGAAAAAACUAUUGGUUCAGAAUGUACAAAGAAAAAUAAAAAAAAUAUAACAAGCAGAGGAAAAAGAUAUAAAAUAUGAA
rnacentral:lncRNA from 1 species